UUAACAUCGUAAUGCGAGGAACCACUGUAUCUGUUCUUACCAAUUUAAUAUCUGAUACAACCUUUAUUUGAGGACUAUAUAUUAAAUGGAUUUGAGGGGCUGGGAAGUGGAAGAGGGAACUACUCCAUCCAUUCCAAACAUUGACCUGAUAUUGCAGUAUCUCCCGGAACAGUGCACCUCUC
rnacentral:snRNA from 1 species